rnacentral:lncRNA from 1 species
CGUUCCCUCACAGAGAACUUCAUGUCGCUUUCUAAUUGAAUUGUUGUCAUGGAAAUCACUUUCAUUUGCUCUGAAAGGACUUAACUAUCAGCCCCCCGUUUUCUCACUUCUGCCUUUGAUAAUAAUCAGCUCACUCCUACCCCCUCCUCUCAACUCCCAAAUCUUCCUUCAAUGAGCAUUCUUCCCGCAAAGUCUGGAGUCAGGGAAAUCAAAAGUCUGGUUUCCUUCCUAAUCCUCGCUGGAGCAUUCCCCGUGCUGCUGACCGAAGAGUUGUACUAUCUGCCCUGAGGACGCACACCCUAUAGCCUGGGAUGGACCUACCUGGCAAUGGCCUUGUAUAGACUAAUGGAGUCAGCCAAUCACAGAUGAGGACCCUGGAGCUCAGAAGGACAUGUGAUCAGCUGACCCAGCUCCUGGUCUCUAAUCCAGGGAUGGCAAAGGGCACCAUGAGUGGAGAACAUCUCCAGAUGAGGUCACCAGUGGCCCUCCUGACCCCCGGCAUCUGACUGUUUGAGCGAAGAAUGACAUUCAAAUGCAAACAGAUGAGCCAUGCUCUGCGCAGAACACUCUGGAAGUGGAAGUGCCAACAUCUGUAGCAGGGAUGGGUAAUGACCUGCCAGGCAAGGCCACAGUGUUAAAUUAAUCCCUGAUGUGUUGGAGGGUUUUUAUUCUUUCAUUGGGUCAUUUAAUAAUGUGACGACUCCCUCCUUCCCUCCGCCUUUAGCUCCCCCAUUGCCAUGGAGACAAUUGUGAAUCAGCUAUCAUAAAUAAAAAUAAUCCAACUGCACCCGCCCGCGCCACAUGCCACUUGGAUGUGGUGCCAACUCGAGUUUAUUUUUUUUUUAAUCCAAGAGCUCUCAGGAGCUCGAGCAGUGCAGGACAUCUCCUGAGGAAUGGAUGCUAUUCAGUGCCUGUUCAAAGACAGGCCUGGGCGCAGGGGAUCAGAGGCUUAUGCCUGCCUCUUGCCAAUCGCUGGACCGAAGAGGGAGUUUUUGCCUAAAUGGGAAUUUCCCACCCGCUGGGGGACAGGGACGCCCUAUUCAUCAAUAUAUUCUGCUGCAGAAACUACUCCUGUACCCCUAAAUAACCCCCCAAAAGGUAUCCCAAGGGCUUUUCUGCAAAUGCAACAAAUGCAACAAUCCCUUUAGCUCGGAAUUCAAAGCCCUCCACAGCCCUUUCCCAAGUCCUCCCAGCAAUGUGGAAGAUGAUUUACAAAAAGGUUUUCAGGAACAUGGAAUCCCACCAUUAGAAGGCUAUUCCUUUCUUAAUUCUCCUGUAAUCCUUCUCAUAAAGAGAGGAAGCCUCCAUCUCUGCUAAUGAGUCUCUAACAUUUGGCUAAUGGCCCUUGUUAGACGGGAGACAGCAGGUCUCUGUCUGAGAGCCUUUGGCAAGCCGCGGUAUCUAGCUGGAAUUUAAGGUCAUUGCUUUGUUUUCAUUGUCUUUAUUUUGAAGGUUUCUGGCUAUUUAUGGCAAGUGAUACUGGCUUUCUAUUUGUGGUAGUGAUAGAGUCUGCUUUUAAAAUAAUCAUAUUUAAGUAAAAACUUGAGUUGAUUUUUAAAAAUAGGUAUUAAAUUUUUUACAAUAGCCAGAGAA